GAUGAACGCUGGCGGCGUGCCUAAUACAUGCAAGUCGAGCGAACAGACGAGGAGCUUGCUCCUCUGACGUUAGCGGCGGACGGGUGAGUAACACGUGGAUAACCUACCUAUAAGACUGGGAUAACUUCGGGAAACCGGAGCUAAUACCGGAUAAUAUAUUGAACCGCAUGGUUCAAUAGUGAAAGACGGUUUUGCUGUCACUUAUAGAUGGAUCCGCGCCGCAUUAGCUAGUUGGUAAGGUAACGGCUUACCAAGGCGACGAUGCGUAGCCGACCUGAGAGGGUGAUCGGCCACACUGGAACUGAGACACGGUCCAGACUCCUACGGGAGGCAGCAGUAGGGAAUCUUCCGCAAUGGGCGAAAGCCUGACGGAGCAACGCCUCAUGAGUGAUGAAGGUCUUCGGAUCGUAAAACUCUGUUAUUAGGGAAGAACAAAUGUGUAAGUAACUAUGCACGUCUUGACGGUACCUAAUCAGAAAGCCACGGCUAACUACGUG
rnacentral:rRNA from 1 species